CGCGUGCGUUUGCUUUUAUGUCCCAUGCAGGCCGCCGUAGGGCCUAUAAAAGGCAGCGGCGCAGUAGUUCACGUUCUUUUUGAGCGACUAAAGCGUGUGGCGUGCUAUUGUCGGUUCCAUUGUGCAAAAAAAUGUUACUAAACUUCAUGGCUUUGUUGACAAGAAGAGGUGAAAGAAACAGGCCAGAUUGAGCAGAUAUGCCUAAAAAUGUAAAAAUGAAGCCCAUGUGGCUUUUGUUUAGGUUGGAUUCCUUGCUGUUUGUCAGCACAUGGUCCAUGGUAUCCAGGCUCCCCAGCUUGAUGGACUAAUGGCCUCAGACAUCUGACCAGCAAAUUCUAGGCUUGAGGUAGCAGGGUGCUAUGGAAACUUGGGAUCUGAGCAGCAUGCGCCAGUGGCUAACUCCAAGUGAACGAACUUGUGGAGGACUGGAAGAGGAAUCAGCCCAAGCUUUGCUCCACAAACAGUAUGAAGGAUUUUCCAGUGAAUUUUGAAAUGUCAGCAGAAUUUCUCUUUGCCUUAUUUUGACAAUGCCAUAUUUGGAUGGGCCUGCAUGCCAACUCAGGCUUCUAAUUUCCUUUUUCCUGUUUGAAAUGUCUGUAUAAUGUAAAGCUCCAGCUAGUUGGAGCUAGCUAAUCAUUUCGAUUCUCUUUACUGGAGAGCCUAAUAAACUUCUUUCUAAAACUUUCUCAA